rnacentral:lncRNA from 1 species
AAAAAGUUAUGCUGCUGCUGCCUGUCAACAGCAAUAAACAUUUUUCUUCCAAUUAUUUUUCUGUUUCAGUUUCAAAAUUAGAAUUGACAGGCGGCAGGGACGGGCAGGCAUGACUGAGUGAACUGGUUUGUCCUGCAACCUUUAUGCAAAAUAGCAGCAGCAAAAGGCAAAGGGCAAGCAAGCAGUUCCUAAUGAAAUGUCCACGAAUGUCUUUGAAGUUGUCGCCUCCGCAUUCAAUGGGGCGGCGAAGGACACUGUUUUGGUAGAGUGCUUCGAGUGCUGCGGGGGGGCGGAGGCCGAGGGGCGUUGCCAGGACGAGCAAUAAAGCAACACAAGUGGCAAACGGAGAAACGGAAGCAAAAUGGAAAUUAUGAUAAGAAGUUGCUGGAGCAUUUGAGAACUGGACAGUCAUUAAAAUGAAACUGGUGCACAGCAAAAUUAUGUAGCCGACAAAUGACAAAUAUAAAGCUUUAACAAAGAGAACGGAAAGGCACUCUACCGAAGAGUGUAACCCCCUUUCAUGCCGUGAAAGGGGAAAAGGGGAAAGAGGGGUGUGCAGGUGAGGCCGCGUUGUUCGGUUCUAGCACCAAAAUAUGUCUCGAUGUUAAGUGCUUC